UGGCGGAGGGGUUAUACUUAACAUGGCGGCGCCCGUGGAGUAGUAUGGGAAGGAGAUCGGUCAUUCACUUAAACAUUUAUAUUUAAUUCUAGUUUCAUUGAAGACGUUGAAUUUUUAGUACCUGAAGCAGCGUCGUGAUAGUACAAUGUAUUUUAGAUAUUAUAAUAGACAUCAGAAAAACUUUACUGUAUAAUAUUUCUGAAUAGGUUCCGUUACGUGCUUUGCGAAGACCCUAGCUCGUCUCUACCACGCGUCCACCAUGAGCUGCACACGCUGUCUGCCGCGGCUGCUGCUGGCCUGCGCCAGGGCGACUGCUCUGAGCGCGGCUCCGCAGGGAGCCUUCCUGAGGAGACAGGCAAGGCUCACGCAGGGACUGAGGAACGUCCACGCCAGCAGCAGAAGGACGGAGAACAAACCCACAGCUGCCGCGCACCAAGGAGGGCAAGGAGAUGGAAAAUCGGAGGAUGGGCCGGGUCAGUCCUUGGUCACCCACGAGCACCUGUUCGAGCGGGCGGCUCGGGACUCGAGGACCAAAGCCACGUUCAACCGCGUGCUGGACGUCUUUGUGAAGAGGGACAUCCGCCGGCGAGGCCACGUGGAGUUCAUCUAUGCCGCCCUGAAGAAGAUGCCCGAGUUCGGAGUGGAGCGAGACCUCUCCGUUUACAACAGGCUGCUGGACAUUUUCCCCAAGGAGGUGUUCGUGCCUCGCAACUUCAUCCAGCGCAUGUUCAACCACUACCCACGGCAGCAGGAGUGCGCCAUUCAGAUUCUGGAAGAGAUGGAGAACCAUGGAAUCAUGCCCAACAUAGAAACCAAAGUACUCCUAGUCCAGAUUUUCGGGGAGAAGAGCCACCCCAUGCGCAAGUACCAGCGACUGCUGUACUGGUUCCCUAAAUUCAAGCACGUGAACCCCUACCCUGUCCCCCAUGAGCUCCCGCAGGACCCCCUGGACCUUGCUCGGCUCAGCCUGAAGCGGAUCGCCAACAGCCUGGAUGCCAAGGUCACCGUCUACCAGAUGCCCUCAACAGACAUCUCAGAAAUGGGAGAGCAGGUGUCUGAGCCCUUUGUCGUAGGAAUUCAGAGCCCCGAACAGCGCCUCCUCUUGGCCGAGCACAACCCCAGCCGACCAGUGUUUGUGGAAGGACCCUUCCCCCUGUGGUUAAGAAAGACGUGCGUCUAUUACUACAUUCUUCGGGCUGAUCCUGUCCCACCAGAAGAGAAGGUCGAGAAGCCCAUUGACUUGGAACGGAGCUUUUUUUACCCACUGCAUCUGGACCUGGACUUGGAACGGGACCUGGGCGAUGAUGACAGCUUUGACGUGGAUGAAGGUAAAUGGCCCCAUGACGAAAACAACCAUACCUUCUCCCUCCCUCCACCCCAAGAUCUGACAUCAGGUCAUUAAUCUCUCUAAGCAUAACAUCAGAGAAAGUCAGAGCAGUCUAAGUCAGAUGCACAUUUAAACAGAGUAGACAGGGUAGGUAGUUCUCAUAUCUGAGCUACAUCGAUUCACUGGACCAGAACUUAUCCUGAUUUCCUCGGUGUUGAAAGGACAAGAGAGCAACUGAGCACCACCCAUCCCAAAGCAACCCGACACCUAGUUGCCUCCCAAUUAUGCAGCUGGAGGCACAACAGCAUGGCCUCGAACCCACAACCAGACUUAUGACUGCUCUACCCUUGAAAUAAAGUGGAGAAAGUGAUAAUGCAGUGCCUCUUAAUUGUAUUUGGGAGAGAAAAAAAGAUGUGCUUGUAUAUACUGUCUAGCUGCCCUGCAAGUCCAGUACUCCCAUAGUAGCAUUGUGACUGUGGCAUUCCACAAGCACUAUUCUGUUCACAGCUGCUUCCCAGCUGCUGUAUUCCAGCUUGCAUUUACUUCAGCAGAUUUCUUGGUAUAAAGCCACCUGACAUUCCGAAACAGUGCAGCAGUAUUCCAGCAGCAUCCUGGUCCUGGGGACCCUCACACCUGCUGGAUUUCAUUGCACUGGAGGAAGGAACUGUGUUUGCCAUGUGUAUGACCGGCUUGGGGGACCAGGCCACCCUGGCCAAGUGGAUCACCGGCCUCCAGGA